AGAUAUAGUUUAACAAAAACACUAGAUUGUGAUUCUAAAAAUAGGGGUUAAAACCCUCUUACCCACC
rnacentral:tRNA from 1 species